GAUGAACGCUGGCGGCGUGCUUAACACAUGCAAGUCGAACGAAGCACUUUAUUUGAUUUCCUUCGGGACUGAUUAUUUUGUGACUGAGUGGCGGACGGGUGAGUAACGCGUGGGUAACCUGCCUUGUACAGGGGGAUAACAGUUGGAAACGGCUGCUAAUACCGCAUAAGCGCACAGCAUCGCAUGAUGCAGUGUGAAAAACUCCGGUGGUAUAAGAUGGACCCGCGUUGGAUUAGCUAGUUGGUGAGGUAACGGCCCACCAAGGCGACGAUCCAUAGCCGACCUGAGGGGGUGACCGGCCACAUUGGGACUGAGACACGGCCCAAACUCCUACGGGAGGCAGCAGUGGGGAAUAUUGCACAAUGGGCGAAAGCCUGAUGCGGCGACGCCGCGUGAGCGAAGAAGUAUUUCGGUAUGUAAAGCUCUAUCAGCAGGGAAGAUAAUGACGGUACCUGACUAAGAAGCACCGGCUAAAUACGUG
rnacentral:rRNA from 1 species